CACCUCUGCCUUUGGGUUCUUGAUGAACUUCCAACGGCUCAGUGCCUCCUUUGCUCACUCGGGCAUCCUCUGCACGUCCAGCACAGGUCCCCGGGGUCUUCAAAGAGGUUUUCAAGCGUGUAGAAAAAAAUACAGCCCGGUGGCUGGGAUGAAGCACGUGACAACCUUGUGAGAUGAGGAAGGAACUGACUUCCCUCGGCCCUGAUGGGGACACAGGAGCCCUGGGAGCUGACAGCAUUUGUCCAAAGCAGCUGAGUGGGGCAGCCGAGGAUCUCAUCCACUCCCCCAAUUCUGCUGCUGCCAGGAAACAGCACCCAAGGAUCCAGGAUCAGCCUCCAUCCCACCCUCCUCUUGGCAAGGAUCCAGGAUCAGCCUCUAUCCCACCCUCCUCUUGGCAAGUAUCCAGGAUCAGCCUCCAUCCCACCCUCCUCUUGGCAAGUCUCUGCUCUCAGGGCUUGAGGGACAAAAAAAAAAAAAAAAAAAAAAAAAAAAGUGUGAUCAAAUCAGAAAGAGACCCAGGGGUUUCAUCCCAGUGUCUCAGGAGCACUAGCAAAGUCGAAAGCUCUGGUUCCACAAUGCUGUUCAAGCUGGCCUUGGCCUCCAGUGCCCCCUGCACGAGUCCCUCUGAUAACUCACAGUGA
rnacentral:lncRNA from 1 species